GGCGGGGGUCACAAGGUGCUCAGUGGGGGAGCUUCUGAGCCAGGAGAAGGAAAUUCACAGGGUUAAUCACUCAGUUAAGGUGGGGCAAGAACAAAUCACCAUGGUGGAAUGUCAUCAGUUAAGGCGGGGCAGGGCCUUUUCAGUUCUUUUGUGAUUCUUCAGUUACUUCAGGCCAUCUGGGCGUAUACGUGCAAGUCACAGGGGAUGCGAUGGCUUGGCUUGGGCUCAGAGGCCUGACAUUCCUGCCUUCUUAUAUUAAUAAGAAAAAUAAAACAAAAUUGUGUUGAAGUGUUGGGGCGGUGAAAAUUUUUGGGGGGUGGUAUGGAGAGAGAAUGGGCGAUGUUUCUCAGGGCUGCUUCAAGCGGGAUUAGGGGCGGCGUGGGAACCUAGAGUGGGAGAGAUUAAGCUGAAGGGAGGUCUUGUGGUAAGGGGUGACAUUGAGGGGGUUGUUAGAAGAAACAUUUGUCAUACAGAAAGAUUGGUGAUGGCCUGGAUACGGUUUUGUAUGAACUGAAAAACUAAAUGGAAUAAGAGAAGGAGAAAAACAGGUAUAAAAGGACUAAGAAUUGGGAGGAUCUAGGACAUCUAAUUAGAGAAUGCCUAAGGAGGUUCAGCAUAGUCCUUCCAGCGAAGAUUAUUUAUUUACUUCAAGAGUUAAGAGUGGCAGUUUGGGGAUAGCAUGAGGAGAUAUCAGCCAUGAUGGCUUGGAGAAACAGUGUAAACUGGCAGUGUAAACAAGAGCAGGGCAUGUAUGAGUAGUUGAGAACGGAGAAUAGGAGUAUGACUAGACGGAAAAUAGUAGGGAUGACAAGUUUUUUUGGGGGCACAGUCUAAGUUGGUCUGGUGUCUGGGAUGAGACUGGGGCCUAAUAAAAAGGAGCUUAAAUGGACUGUACCUUGUAGCAUUCUGAGGACAGGUCUGACUUCUGAGAAGGGAAAGUGGUAAAAGUAUUGUCCAGUUCUUUUUAAGUUGGUGGCUGAGCUUGGUGAGGUGUGUUUUUAAAAGACCUUUAGUCCGUUCUACUUUUCUUGAAGACAGAGGACUAUAAGGGAUAUAAACUGAAAAACUGCUUGGCUAAUUUGACUAAUAAAGCCUGGUCUGUUAUCAGACUGUAUAGAGGUGGGAAGGCUAAACUGAGGAAUUAUGUCUGACAGAAGGGAAGAAAUGACUGCGGUGGCCUUCUCAGACCCUGUAGGAAAGGCCUCUACCUAUCUAGUGAAAAUGUCUACUUAGACUAAGAGGUAUUUUAGUUUUUGUGACUCGGGGCAUGUGGAGUAAAGCUAAUUUGCCAGUCCUGGGCGGGGGCAAAUCCUCGAGCUUGAUGUGUAGGGAAGGGAGGGGCCUGAAUGAUCCUUGAGGAGUAGCAGAAUAGCAGAUAGAAUAGCAGAUGGAACACUGAGAAGUUAUUUCCUUGAGGAUAGAUUUCUACAAUGGAAAGGAAAUGAGAGGUUCUAAGAGAUGGGCUAGUGGCUUGUAAUAUGGGGAAAUGGGGUGAAUGUCAGGUGGAUCAGAGAGAUGCAGUCAUGGGGAUCAGGUGUGGUAUCAGGAAUAAUGUGGGAGGCCAGAUUGAAGUCUGGGCCAGGAACAAUGGUAAUUGUGGGACUUAACAAAGAAUGAGUACAGCUGAAGGAGCCGGGGAGCAGAAAGUAUAUGCGUCAGGUAUGAGGAAGAAAAUAGAUUUUGGAAGUUAUGAGAAAUGUAGAGAGUGAGUUGAACAUAGUUUGUGAUUUUUAGGGCCUCUAAAAUUAUUAAAGCAGCGGCAGCUGCUGCAUGCAGACAUGAGGGCUAGGCUAAAACAGUAAGGUCAAGUUGUUUGGACAGAAAGGCUACAGGGUGGGGUCCUGGCUCUUGUGUAAGAAUUCUGACCGCACUAACCAUGCCUAGGAAGGAAAGGAGUUGUUGUUUUGUAAGGGAUUGAGGUUUGGGAGAUUAAUCAGACACCAUCAGCAGGGAGAGCACCUGUGUUUUUGUGAAGAAUUAUGCCGAGGUAGGUAACGGAUGGAGAAGAAAUUUGAGCUUUGGAGGGGGAUACCCGAUAUCCUUUGGAGAAUAAAUGCUGAAGGAGCAGAAGUAUGUCUUGUUGAGAAGAUUCAAAGGAGGGGCUACAAAGAAGAAGGUCAUCAAUAUAUUGAAUAAGGUGAGAAGUGGAGGGGUGGAAAGAAAGUAGAUCAUGAGAAAGAGCUUGGCUGAAGUAAUGAGGGCUGUCCCUGGAACCUUGCGGCAGCACAGCCCAGGUAAGCUGCUGAGCCUAAUGGGUGUCAGGGUCAGUCUAAGUGAAGGCAAAGAGAGGCUGAGAUGAAGAGUGCAAAGGAAUAGUAAAGAAAGCAUGUUUGAGAUCCAGAACAGAAUAAUGGGUAGUAGAGGGAGGUAUUGAGGAUAGGAGAGUAUAUGGGUUUGGCACCACGGGGUGGAUAGGCAAAACAAUUUGGUUGAUAAGGCACAGAUUCUGAACUAAGUUGUAAGCCUUGUCUGGUUUUAGGACAGGUAAAACGGGGGAAUUGUAAGGAGAGUUUAUAGGCUUUAAAAGGCCAUGCUGUAGCAGGUGAGUGAUAACAGGCUUUAAUCCUUUCAAAGCAUGCUGUGGGAUGGGAUAUUGGCAUUGAGUCGGGUAAGCGUGAUUAGGUUUUAAUGAGAUGGUAAGGGGUGCAUGAUCGGUCGCCAAGGAGGGAGUAGAGGUAUCUUAUACUUGUGGGUUAAGGUGGGGGAAUACAAGAGGAGGACGCAAAGGAGGCUUUGGAUUGGGAAGAAGGGCAGCAAUGAGAUGCAGCUGUAGUCCAGGAAUAGUCAGGGAAGCAGAUAAUUUGGUUAAAAUAUCUCGGCCUGAUAAGGGAACUGGGCAGGUGGAGAUAACUAAAAAAGAGUGCAUAAAAGAGUGUUGUUCAAGUUGGCACCAGAGUUGGGGAGUUUUAAGAGGUUUAGAAGCCUGGCUGUCAAUACCCACAACAGUUAUGGAGGCAAGGGAAACAGGCCCUUGAAAAGAAGGUAAUGUGGAGUGGGUAGCCUCCAUAUUGAUUAAGAAGGGGACAGACUUACCCUCCACUGUGAGAGUUACCUAAAGCUCGGUGUCCAUGGUGGUCUACAGGGCUUCUGAGGCGAUCAGGCAGCGUCAGUCUUCAGCCACUAAGCCAAGAAGGAGUCAGUCAGAGAGCCUUGGGCCAGAGUUCCAGGGGCGCUGGGAGUGGCUGCCAGAAGACGAUGAUUCCAGAUGGAAAAAAUGGAAAUGUAAGAGGGAAUUAACAACACUGGAAUUAGUAAACCCAUGGGCUUCAUCCAUGUGCUAGUUCAGCCUGUGAGAUGCUGGUGAGCCCACCUCCAGGCACUCACGGACUCCCCACCCAUUGAGUGUGGCCUGGAUUUAGUGACUCAAUCAAACGUGACAGAGUGCUGGGGUGUCAUUUUCAAGACUGGGUUAUGUGAAGACUGCAGCCUCCAUCUGGGGUGCUCUCUCUUGGAUUGCUUGCUCAGGGAUGUGGGGAGAGCUGCUGUGCUGGGAGGCUGCCCAUGUGAGUUGACUUGGAUGUGAACCUUCUGUGGCCUGCCAAUAGCCACGUGAGUGACCUUGAAAAUGGAUCAGCCUUCACUCAAGUCUCAAGAUGACUGUGGUCUUGGCUGACAGCUUGAUUGCUGUCUCAUGGGGGACCUUAAACCAAAGGCACCCUGCUAAGCCACACACAGCUUCCUGGCCCACAGAAACUAUGAAAUAAUAACCAUUUCUUAUAUAAGCCUCCAAGUUUUGGGAGUAAUAUUUUGCACAGUGAUGGAUCACUAAUACAAGCCAGUCAUCAGUUGAAAGACACUGAAUUUAUUUCCAGUUUUAUGUGAUUAUGAAUAAUGUCACCAUAUGCAUUUGCAUACAGGUGUUUGUGUGGACACUGCUGUCAUUUCUCUUGGGAAGAUACUGAGGAGUCAGAUUGCUGGAUCCCGUGAAGAAUGUAUGUUGAAUGUUAUAAAAAUCUGCCAACUUAAAUCUGUUUCCUGGUGCUCUUUCGUCAGCAUUGGGAGAUGCUCUAACAUUUCUCACCAAGUCUUUCUUCUGCUCAUGCGCUCCCUCUUCUUUCCCUAAGACUUCAAUCAUCCUCCUCAUUGCCCUUUAUAUCUCUAAACCAUUGUCUGGAGUUUCCAUUCUUCCCUUUUGCUUCAAUCUGUUUCAUUCUGGGGAUUUUCUGAGUUAUCUUCCACUUCUCCAGUUAUUUUUUAUUUGUUUUGUUUUUAAACAACUAUAUCUAAUUAAAUUUAACUUUAUCCUCUGUUGUACUCAAUUUUAUUACUGCAUUUUCCAAUUUCAGAAUUUCCAUUUGACGAUUUCCUUAUAGUUUCCUAUUUCUGCUGAAAUUCUCGUUGUUUUAUUUCGUG
rnacentral:lncRNA from 10 species